AGUGAACGCUGGCGGUAGGCCUAACACAUGCAAGUCGAACGGCAGCACAGUAAGAGCUUGCUCUUACGGGUGGCGAGUGGCGGACGGGUGAGGAAUACAUCGGAAUCUACUUUUUCGUGGGGGAUAACGUAGGGAAACUUACGCUAAUACCGCAUACGACCUACGGGUGAAAGCAGGGGAUCUUCGGACCUUGCGCGAUUGAAUGAGCCGAUGUCGGAUUAGCUAGUUGGCGGGGUAAAGGCCCACCAAGGCGACGAUCCGUAGCUGGUCUGAGAGGAUGAUCAGCCACACUGGAACUGAGACACGGUCCAGACUCCUACGGGAGGCAGCAGUGGGGAAUAUUGGACAAUGGGCGCAAGCCUGAUCCAGCCAUACCGCGUGGGUGAAGAAGGCCUGCGGGUCGUAAAGCCCUUUUGUUGGGAAAGAAAAGCAGCAGGUUAAUACCCCGCUGUUCUGACGGUACCCAAAGAAUAAGCACCGGCUAACUUCGU
rnacentral:rRNA from 1 species